rnacentral:rRNA from 1 species
AUUGAACGCUGGCGGCAGGCCUAACACAUGCAAGUCGAGCGGAUGAGUGGAGCUUGCUCCAUGAUUCAGCGGCGGACGGGUGAGUAAUGCCUAGGAAUCUGCCUGGUAGUGGGGGACAACGUUUCGAAAGGAACGCUAAUACCGCAUACGUCCUACGGGAGAAAGUGGGGGAUCUUCGGACCUCACGCUAUCAGAUGAGCCUAGGUCGGAUUAGCUAGGUGGUGAGGUAAAGGCUCACAAAGGCAACGAUCCAUAACUGGUCUGAGAGGAUGACUAGUCCAACUGGAACUGAGACACGGUCCAGACUCCUAAGGGAGGCAGCAGUGGGGAAUAUUUGACAAUGGGCGAAAGCCUGAUCCAGCCAUGCCGCGUGUGUGAAGAAGGUCUUCGGAUUGUAAAGCACUUUAAUUUGGGAGGAAGGGCAGUAAGUUAAUACCUUGCUGUUUUGACGUUACCAACAGAAUAAGCACCGGCUAACUUCGUGCCAGCCGCCGCCGUAAUAC